AGAUAUGUGCAACCAAUACAUAUCUAAGGCUACAGUUCAAGUUGAAUUUUCUUAUUAUUUAACCCGAAUAAGUUUACAACCCCACUCUUCCAUUCAGAAUCAAGUAACAUUUCUAAAAUAUUUAAUAUGUUAUUUCAGGCACAGGGGUCUGACAUACAAUAUCGAAGGCAAACCCAGUGGAGACGAAAAGGGUGAUCAAUUGGACAAUUAUAUUCCUCAAUAUGUUUCAUUAGAUGAUCUGCAACAUGGACACUUUCAUCUCAUUUAUGCUCACCCAGAGACUCUUAUACGUAAUCAUACCAUAUCUACCACGCAAAGAUCAAAAACCUAUAAGGAGAAUGUGUGUGUCAUUGUUGUUGAUGACGUCCACAUGAUCUCAGAAUGGGGGCCAGAUUUUCGGACAGCCUUUUUCCAUUACCAACAUCUGUACACUUGGCUCUCACAGCAACAGCAACAAGAAUGGUCGUAACAGAUCUGACAAAGGAGUUAUGUCUUGCAGAUCCAGUCAUUGUAUCAUCAAACCCAGAUCGUCCAAACAUAUUCAUUGAGGUAUGUCUUGGCCUUCCAAAUGUGAACAAGAUGGACAAACUGGAUGCUGCAUUGAAGAUUAACUUCAAGAUAACGCAUACCACCCAAAGACUGAGAAGACUCCAGAAAAUCGAAGUUUUGAACAAUUUCAUAAGGACUACACAUUAAGAAUGAAAGCUCACAUUGUUGAUGAACUAAGAAAAUCUAACCCAAAGCUUCGCCUUAUAUUUGCUACAGUUGCUUUGGGAAUGGGGCUAAAUUCCCCUUGUAUUAGUUCAGUGAUACAUUUCCGACCUCCUACAACACUGGAAAAGUAUUUCCAGGAGAUAGGUAGAGCUGGUAGAAAUAGUCAACCUGCAAAUGCCAUAAUGUACUCUAAUAUGAGUGAUCUAGCUUCCAAUAGGAAAGGGCUUCUUUCACCUUCGAUGAGAGAAUUCUGUUUGAACAGUACAACAUGCUUAAGAAAACAAAUUGUAAAUCAUUUUGGUUUCGAUUCUGUUCUGUAUAAUGGAGAAAUCAACAUGUGCUGUUCAAAUUGUAGAACAGGAUGAAGUACACGAUAUAUUUAUUUUCUGUUGUUAUCUGGAUCUUAAGGUAUGAAUAAUGUCUAAUGAUCAUAUUUCAUAAAUGUAUGGUGGGGUAUUUGUAAUCAUGGUUUCAUUGUGAUGAGUUUAUUAAACAAAGAUAUUCCAUCAUGGGAUUUUUAAAAUUUUGCUUAUUGAUUGAUUUUUUUUAAUAUUCACCAAUUUUUAAUCUUCUUCUGUUAUACAUUGAAUACCGUUAAGACAAGGAUACAGUGGACUACACUGUACACUUUUAGAUCUGUUCAUUAUGUCAUAUGUUUAAACAUCAGCCUUCAACUCGACAUUGAUAUUUUGACCUUUAGAAUUAAAAUUCAUAAUUUGU